rnacentral:pre_miRNA from 1 species
ACAUAAAUCACCUGGCCAUCUUGUUAAAAUGCAGAUUCUGAUUCACUAGAUGUAGGGCUGGGCCUGAGAUUCUGUAUUUCUAACGAGCUCCCAGGUGUUGCCGAU